rnacentral:rRNA from 1 species
AGGACGAACGCUGGCGGCGUGCUUAACACAUGCAAGUCGAGCGGAAAGGCCCUUCGGGGUACUCGAGCGGCGAACGGGUGAGUAACACGUGAGCAAUCUGCCCCUAGCUUCGGGAUAGCUCCGGGAAACCGGAAUUAAUACCGGAUAUGACCACGGCCGACAUCUGCCGUAGGUGGAAAGGAUUCCGGCUAAGGAUGGGCUCGCGGCCUAUCAGCUAGUUGGUGGAGUAACGGCCCACCAAGGCGAUGACGGGUA